rnacentral:lncRNA from 1 species
UAAAACAUGUUAUCCCAACUGCUGGAGUCCUAUUGGUUUGGUUCCUUGCUGGUUGAUCUCGAAUCAUUGGGGUCCGUGCUGGUGGGUUCUGACAUUCCCUAGCAUAGUGUCCCUUCUGAUUACACUUAUAACACACCACAUUCAAUCUAUUACAGAUUCCCCCGUGUUUCUUUCCACAUAUCUGGCACUCCGGCAGUGGAGGCCUUGGUUGAUUUCCAAUAGCUGGACGGUUACCUUGUCCACUACCACCUACAUCUGGCUUCUUAAAAGUGG